CCUACGGGAGGCAGCAGUGGGGAAUAUUGGACAAUGGGGGCAACCCUGAUCCAGCCAUGCCGCGUGAGUGAUGAAGGCCUUCGGGUUGUAAAGCUCUUUUGGCGGGGACGAUGAUGACGGUACCCGCAGAAUAAGCCCCGGCUAACUUCGUGCCAGCAGCCGCGGUAAU
rnacentral:rRNA from 3 species